rnacentral:lncRNA from 1 species
AGAAAGUGGGCAGCGGCCUGCGCCAGUGGAAGCGGGUGUACGCCGCGCUGCUGGCGCGCUCGCUCUCGCUGAGCAAGGAGCGGCGGGAGCCCGGGCUGGCGGCGGCGGGGGCUGCGGCGGCCGGCGCAGGUGAGGACGAGGCGGCGCCCGUCUGCAUCGGCUCCUGCCUCGUGGACAUCUCCUACAGCGAGACCAAGAGGAGGCACGUGUUCCGGCUGACCACCGCUGACUUCUGUGAAUAUCCCUUUCAGGCUGAGGACCGGGAUGACAUGCUGGGCUGGAUCAGAGCGAUCCGGGAGAACAGCAGGGCCGAGGGCGAGGACCCCGGCUGUGCCAACCAAGCUCUGAUCAGCAAGAAGCUUAAUGAUUAUCGCAAAGUGAGCCAUAGCUCUGGGCCUAAAGCUGAUUCCUCCCCCAAAGGCUCUCGCGGCCUGGGGGGCCUCAAGUCUGAGUUCCUCAAGCAGAGUGCGGCACGUGGCCUCAGGACUCAGGACCUGCCUGCAGGGAGCAAGGAUGACAGUGCUGCAGCCCCCAAAACCCCCUGGGGCAUCAACAUCAUCAAGAAAAAUAAGAAGGCUGCCCCAAGGGCAUUUGGGGUCAGGCUGGAGGAGUGCCAGCCAGCCACGGAGAACCAGCAUGUCCCCUUAAUCGUGGCUGCACGCUGUCACAUUGUGGAGGCACGAGGGCUGGAGUCCACAGGCUUUUACCGAGUGCCUGGCAACAAUGCAGUGGUGUCCAGCCUACAGGAGCAGCUCAAUCCUGGGCCUGGUGACAUCAACCAGCAGGAUGAGCGCUGGCAAGACCUCAAUGUGAUCAACAGCCUGCUCAAGUCCUUCUUCCGAAAGCUGCCCGAGCCUCUUUUCACUGCUGGUGCCCUUCUCUUCUGACCUGCUGAACCUUGGUGUCCAUGUCCUGGAGACGGGGGCAUGGACCCCUUUUCUGCGAUCAGCAUGCACCUCAGGUCGUAUUGCCUCCCAAAUGAACACAGCUGGGCUACCCCAGGUCAGGUGCACACCCGAGUGUAGCUGUGACAAAUACAAUGACUUCAUCGAGGCCAACUGCAUUGAGGACG